ensembl:lncRNA
UUACAGAUAGUUACAUACUAUUCCAGAUAGUUACAGAUAGUUACAUACUCUUCCAGAUAGUUACAGAUAGUUACAUACUAUUCCAGAUAGUUACAGAUAGUUGCAUACUAUUCCAGUUGGUUACAUACUAUUCCAGAUAGUUACAGAUAGUUACAUAGUAUUCCAGAUAGUUACAGGUAGUUACAUACUAUUCCAGAUAGUUACAUACUAUUACAGAUAGUUACAUACUAUUUCAGAUAGUUACAUACUAUUCCAGAUAGUUACUUACUAUUCCAGAAAGUUACAUACUAUUCCAGAUAGUUACAUACUAUUCCAGGUAGUUAGUUAGGUAACUACUUUGGAUUUGACUGAGAAUAUACGAGAUGUUUACCUUGUGACUUUGUCCUUAAUCAUUUAUAAUAGCGUGUGUAAGAAGUAUACAUUUAAAAAAAUGUCUUCCUGUUUACAUUCCCGGGGACAUUUGACAUUUUGUGCCAUUUAACCCUAACCCUGACCCCUAACCCUAACCCCUAACCCUAACUAUCUGUCUCGUGGACAGAGACAGGGACAGAGACCUGUUUACAGACUGAUCUGCCUCGUGUGUAAUAUGAAACGUCUCUGUCAGGAACACGGUGGUCGGGGAGGGAAGAGGAAAUGAAAUGUAAUUCAUUCUACAGAUAAAAGGUUAGAUUAGACACACUGCCUUAAAUGGAUUUCAUCCCAAUGUUGUUCUGCAAUCUGUCUCACCUCAGUGUGUGUGUGUUUGUGUCUGUGUGUGUGUGUGUCACUCUCUGUGUGUGUGUGUGUUUGUUUUGUGUGUGUGUCUGUGUGUGUGUGUGUUUGUUUUGUGUGUGUGUCUGUGUGUGUGUUUACUGACUGUGUGAUAUACCAUAGAUAUUAAAACAGAGGGGUGAGGGAGGGACGAUGGGGGAGAAAGAGAGACAGAGACAGAGACAGAGAGACAUGGACAGAGACAGGAACAGAGACAGAGACAUGGACAGAGACAUGGACAGGGACAGAGACAGAGACAGAGACAGAGACAGAGACAGGAACAGAGACAUGGACAGGAACAGAGACAGAGACGGGAACAGAGACAUGGACAGAGACAGAGAAAUGGACAGAGACAGAGACAGAGACAUGGACAGAGAUGGGGACAGGGACAGAGACAUGGACAGAGACAUGGACAGAGACAUGGACAGAGACAGGGGACAGGGACAGAGACAUGGACAGACACAGAGACAUGGACAGAGACAUGGACAGAGACAGAGACAUGGACAGGGACAGAGACAGAGACAUGAACAGAGACAGAGACAUGGACAGAGACAGGAACAGAGACAUGGACAGAGACAGGGACAUGGACAGAGACAUGGACAGAGACAUGGACAGGGACAGAGACAGAGACAGGGACAGAGACAUGGACAGAGACAGAGACAGAGACAUGGACAGAGACAGGGACAGAGACAGAGACGGGGACAGAGACAGAGACGGGGACAGAGACAGGGACAGAGACAGGGACAGAGACAUGGACAGAGACAGGGACAGAGACAGGGACAGAGACAUGGACAGAGACAGAGAAAAUGGACAGAGACAGAGACAGAGACAUGGACAGAGAUGGGGACAGGGACAGAGACAUGGACAGGGACAGAGACAUGGACAGAGACAGGGGACAGGGACAGAGACAUGGACAGAGACAGAAAUGGACAGAGACAGACACAGAGACAUGGACAGAGACGGGGACAGAGACAUGGACAGAGACAGGGACAGAGACAGAGACAUGAACAGAGACAGAGACAUGGACAGAGACAGGAACAGAGACAUGGACAGAGACAGGGACAUGGACAGAGACAUGGACAGAGACAGAGACAGAGACAUGGACAGAGACAUGGAAAGGGACAGAGACAGAGACGGGGACAGAGACAGAGACGGGGACAGAGACAGGGACAGAGACAGGGACAGAGACAUGGACAGAGACAGGGACAGAGACAGGGACAGAGACAUGGACAGAGACAGAGAAAUGGACAGAGACAGAGACAGAGACAUGGACAGAGAUGGGGACAGGGACAGAGACAUGGACAGGGACAGAGACAUGGACAGAGACAGGGGACAGGGACAGAGACAUGGACAGAGACAGAA